GAAUAUGAAGCAAUAAUUGCAAUUAGUUUCGACCUAAUUUUUGGUAUUAAAUUACCCUUAUUCU
rnacentral:tRNA from 1 species